GGUGUCUAAGGAAAGCAACAAGCAGGGGACCUCCCACAUCUUACACUUACCUGGCCGAGAUAGUUAGUCAGUUUUGGGCUUGGAGUGCUUGAAGGUGAUCUUGGAACAGUUAGGAGCUGUCUAAAUCUAGGUUAACCCUAGGAUAGAAAGUCUAUUUUGUGCUAACUUAUCUGCCAUUAAAAUUUAAACCUAAUUAAAACACUCUUCUCUUUCAUCUCUAGAUUUAGGACUCCUUAGGACUCAUCUCUAGAACUCUUUUCUCUCUCCUUCCUCUUCUCU
rnacentral:lncRNA from 1 species